rnacentral:lncRNA from 1 species
CACAAUCAGGGUUCAUUGUGGGGUCAGCUGUCUCACUCCAUCCCUCCCUUGACGCCGGGAGGUGUAAUCACCGCCCUCCAUAGGCUGUGUUUAUUAUCCCCGUGGGACCUUUGUCCCGGCUGGGAGCGGCGUGUUGACGUUUCUCGCGUGCCCAUGGUGACCGCGCGGUGUCACCUCUCCGGUGUCACCCCUGCCCGCCGCACCCCUGCUCAAAGGGGGAGGGCCCCGCUAUUUAAGGAUGCCCUACAGCCGGGAGAGCUGUGCCAAGGACGGGGAUCCCGAGUGCUGCCGGCGUUGCUUCUUCUGGGAGCUCUUCCACAGCUUGGAGACCACUGAGGAUGUGUGACCCCAACCAAGGCCCACCACAACCACACCUUGCAGUGUGCCCUCCUGCCCCUCCAGGAUACCCUGGUCCUGGCACAGGUUCCUACCCUGGUGGCAUUGCAGUUUGCCCUGCUGCUCCUCCAGGACACCCAGGUCCUGGCACAGGUCCCUACCCUGGCGGUGUGGCAGUCUGCCCCCCACGCCCUGCUCCGCCUGGCCAGCACCCUCAUGGGCAGCCCCCAUUGGGACAUCAUCCUCAUGGACACCAGGAGCACCAUAAGAAGCACCAUAAGAAGCACCAUAAGAAGAAGCACUGCAAGCACCAUGAAGGCAAGCCCUCUGGUGCCUCAUGCAGCUCAAGCAGCAGCUCAAGCAGAAGCUCUGACUGGCUAAAGGUCUUGCAUCUCCCACCUGGCUCUGUGAUGAUCAACAAAACAUGAGACCAAACUCCUCGUGGGAACCCUCUGCAUGCUACUCCUCACCAUCCCCCUUUCCCUUGGAGCAGUGCUUUGCCUGCUGAGUUAUUUUUCUUGUGUGCAAGAGCUUGUAAAUCCUUUGACCUGGAAUCUCCGAGUUAAUGGACAACAUUUCCACCCUCUAUCUUCUGGGAGACCCUGCUGAAAGUCAUUACAUGCUGUUUUCCAAUCUACCGGUGUCUGUGUGUUUUUUCCUGGGCAAUGAUGGUGGCUGCAAAUAUUGAUCCCAUAAAACUCCUUA